GCCAGCGGCCAUAUCACCCUGCGACUAACAACUGGCAACCCACUCACGCUCAGCAGUGUGAGCCUGGUCAGUACCAGAAUGGGAGACCUCCUGGGAAAAACUAAGGUUGUUGCUGGAA
rnacentral:rRNA from 1 species